rnacentral:rRNA from 1 species
UGGGGAAUAUUGGACAAUGGGCGAAAGCCUGAUCCAGCCAUGCCGCGUGUGUGAAGAAGGUCUUCGGAUUGUAAAGCACUUUAAGUUGGGAGGAAGGGCAUUAACCUAAUACGUUAGUGUUUUGACGUUACCGACAGAAUAAGCACCGGCUAACUCUGUGCCAGCAGCCGCGGUAAUACAGAGGGUGCAAGCGUUAAUCGUAAUUACUGGGCGUAAAGCGCGCGUAGGUGGUUUGUUAAGUUGGAUGUGAAAUCCCCGGGCUCAACCUGGGAACUGCAUUCAAAACUGACUGACUGGAGUAUGGUAGAGGGUGGUGGAAUUUCCUGUGUAGCGGUGAAAUGCGUAGAUAUAGGAAGGAACACCAGUGGCGAAGGCGACCACCUGGACUAAUACUGACACUGAGGUGCGAAAGCGUGGGGAGCAAACA